UACGUAGGGUCCGAGCGUUGUCCGGAAUUAUUGGGCGUAAAGAGCCCGUAGGCGGUUUGUCGCGUCUGCUGUGAAAUCCCGAGGCUCAACCUCGGGUCUGCAGUGGGUACGGGCAAACUGGAGUGCGGUAGGGGAGAAUGGAAUUCCUGGUGUAGCGGUGGAAUGCGCAGAUAUCAGGAGGAACACCGAUGGCGAAGGCAGUUCUCUGGGCCGUAACUGACGCUGAGGAGCGAAAGCGUGGGGAGCGAACAGG
rnacentral:rRNA from 1 species